rnacentral:rRNA from 1 species
GCUCAGGACGAACGCUGGCGGCGUGCCUAAUACAUGCAAGUCGUACGCUUCUUUUUCCACCGGAGCUUGCUCCACCGGAAAAAGAGGAGUGGCGAACGGGUGAGUAACACGUGGGUAACCUGCCCAUCAGAAGGGGAUAACACUUGGAAACAGGUGCUAAUACCGUAUAACAAUCGAAACCGCAUGGUUUUGAUUUGAAAGGCGCUUUCGGGUGUCGCUGAUGGAUGGACCCGCGGUGCAUUAGCUAGUUGGUGAGGUAACGGCUCACCAAGGCCACGAUGCAUAGCCGACCUGAGAGGGUGAUCGGCCACAUUGGGACUGAGACACGGCCCAAACUCCUACGGGAGGCAGCAGUAGGGAAUCUUCGGCAAUGGACGAAAGUCUGACCGAGCAACGCCGCGUGAGUGAAGAAGGUUUUCGGAUCGUAAAACUCUGUUGUUAGAGAAGAACAAGGAUGAGAGUAACUGUUCAUCCCUUGACGG